rnacentral:rRNA from 1 species
GACGAACGCUGGCGGCGUGCUUAACACAUGCAAGUCGAACGGAAAGGCCCUGCUUGCAGGGUGCUCGAGUGGCGAACAGGUGAGUAACACGUGGGUGAUCUGCCCCUUACUUUGGGAUAAGCCUGGGAAACUGGGUCUAAUACUGGAUAGGACCAUGCUGUAGGUGGUGUGGUGGAAAGAUUAGUUUCGGUAAGGGAUGAGCUCGCGGCCUAUCAGCUUGUUGGUGGGGUAAUGGCCUACCAAGGCGUCGACGGGUAGCCGGCCUGAGAGGGUGGACGGCGACAUUGGGACUGAGAUACGGCCCAGACUCCUACGGGAGGCAGCAGUGGGGAAUAUUGCACAAUGGGCGCAAGACUGAUGCAGCGACGCCGCGUGGGGGAUGACGGCCUUCGGGUUGUAAACUCCUUUCAGCCAUGACGAAGCCCUUGUUGUGACGGUAGUGGUAGAAGAAGCACCGGCUAACUACGUG